CGCUUGACAGGCGGGGACCGUCCCAACCGCCCGGCCCGCUCCGGGAGAGGCCGGCGGGGGAGCGACGCCGCGCCGCGCGCAGUGCUGUGUUGGAACAGAGGGCUUCACACAUGCUAGUGCCAGAGAUCCAACUCAGUGCAAGUGUUCUACCACUGAACUAAAUCAACUAAAUCUCUAGUCCCUGUCAGUACUUUUCUUUUCUUUCUUUUUUCUUUUUUUGUACUGGAGAUUGAA